UGGGGAAUUUUGCACAAUGGGGGAAACCCUGAUGCAGCGACGCCGCGUGAUUUAGAAGGCCUUCGGGUUGUAAAAAUCUUUUGUAUAGGAAGAAAAUGACAGUACUAUACGAAUAAGGACCGGCUAAUUACGUGCCAGCAGCCGCGGUAAUACGUAAGGUCCGAGCGUUGUCCGGAAUCAUUGGGCGUAAAGGGUACGUAGGCGGGUAAGCAAGUUAGAAGUGAAAUCCUGUAGCUCAACUACAGUAAGCUUUUAAAACUGCUCAUCUUGAGAUAUGGAAGGGAAAGGGGAAUUCCUAGUGUAGCGGUGAAAUGCGCAGAUUGUAGGAGGAAUACCGGGGGCGAAGGCGACUUUCUGGCCAUAAUCUGACGCUGGGGUACGAAAGCGUGGGUAGCAAACAGG
rnacentral:rRNA from 1 species